GACUGAUCCAGCGUAGGCUGGGGCUGCAGUGGUAAAGGUGGAGAAAGGCUGGAGAAGUUAGGGACUGUUUUCUGCUGAAGGAGACAACUUACUAAGUUUUAAAGAGCCACUAGCUCAUGUCAGAGAAGGAUCUGAAGCCAUAUGAUUUGGAAAGAACAUGAGUGCAUUCGGUUUUGGACAUUGGACCGCAGGUGUCACAGAAGUGUAAUCUCUGACAGAGGAGAAGCAAAUGAGGUGAGACCCACAAGUGCCCCAGCUGACAACCUGGAGAGAGUUUCCACGCCACCAUACAGACCCUGUAGGGGACCCACUGUCUCCAGGCCUCCGUUUGCUCAUCUGUAAAGCGAGGGGUGGGCCAGUCACCCCGGCAUGAGCUUUGACAUUUUAGGAUCCCAGCCUUCCCGCUGUGGUUGCAGAAGUGGCUCUUAGGAUCCCAGCCUUCCCGCUGUGGCUGCAGAAGUGGCUCCUCUCCAGAACAGCAUUUAUGGCGUCUGGACUCCCGCCCCAGCUCCCUAACGGGGCAGGGAGCUCGCCUGCUCCUGAAGCAUCCGCCUCCCAGCCUCGCGCAGGUGAGGCUCAUCAAUAACGAUGGGCGAGGAUGUCAGGCUGCGUCUGAAGCCACCAGGGGCCCAGCAGGCUGCCGCGUGCUUUGUCAUAAACUAUGUUGUCACCUGGGGAAGAAUCAUCACCGAUAACAUAUUUCAGGAGACAAAAACAAGAGGUGCAUUGAUUUUUUCCACGAGGUCAGACAACUUCUGGGAAGGCUCCUGGAACUCAAGUUGUCACGGCAUCUCUCCCUGAAUAUCCGUUUGACCCGGGGUGUUAGUGGCCUCUGACCCAGGUGGGCUCUUUUUCCUGAUCACGGGCUGUUCUUUUCAGAGGCCAGCACCAUCACUGGCCUUUCUCAGACCCUGAGGAUCGAGGCUGACUUGGAUCCAGGGAAGAUUUGCUCUCUGGCUUCCCCUGAUCUGGCUCCGAGAAAGGUCUGCACAGGUGGCUCCGGGAGGGGCUCUGCUGACAGCCAAAUCUGCCAUUUGUUAAGCUUAUGACACACACCAGAGUGACCUGUCUAUUUCCCUGGCCACCACCCAGCCCAAAACUGAAGACAGAAUGUUCAAAAAUACAGUAUAUUAAUAGAAAAUCUGAGGCAUAGUGAGGCCAACAGAUCAGGAGACAACUGCCAUUAAAAAGGUAGUUUGCGGCCGUGAGCGGUGGCUCACGCCUGUAAUCCCAGCACUUUGGGAGGCCGAGGUGGGCAGAUCACAUGAGGUCAGGAGUUUUAGACUCGCCUGGCCAGCAUGGUGGAACCACCCUAUCUCUACUAAAAAUAUAAAAAUUAGCUGGGUGUGGUGGCGGGAGCCUGUAAUCCAAGCUACUCAGGAGGCUGAGGCAGGAGAAUCACUGGAACCUGGAAGGUGGAGGCUGCAGUGAGCUGAGAUCGCACCACUGCACUCCAGCCUGGGCAACAGAGUGAGACCCCAUCUCAAAAAAAAAAAAAAAAAAGGUAGUUUGUUACUCACAGUUCCCAAGAGGAGGGGAGCACCACGCCAUGCCGCGCCACGCCAUGCCACGCCAUGCCACGCCAUGCCAUGCCAUGCCACGCCAUGUGGGGGCCACACCCGGAGAGCCCCAGAGGGAGCAAGGGGCAGAACGCAGGCAAGCAGUUCCCAUGGGAAGGAACAGGCGAGGCAGGGUACACAGGUUUAGGACUAGCUAGUUUGAAUAAUUUCAGCAGGCUCUGGGACAUAGGAGCUGUCUGUAGUUGUCUGGUACCUGGCCCUGGGGGAUACAGGCAGGUGGAUAGGGGCCCAGAGUGUGGUUGGGAGGUGUGGGCUCUAGAGUGGGUGAUUUGUAUUUGAAAAGCACACUCCCAGGCCAUUGUCUGCUGUCUCUAGGAACUAUCUAAUCCUGGGAGGGACUCUCUCCAGUGUCAGCAAAGCCCCUGAUGUCAAAGUAUCACAAUACAGAGAAUAAAAGACGCGGCCCGUACGCAGAGCUGAAGUGGCUCUCUGUUAUUUGCAGAUGGAAAUUGGAAUCUCUACAGCAUGACAGACACUUGAGCAGAAAUUCUAAGCUUUUAUGGGUUGCCACAGGUCCCUUUCAGGAGGAUGGCGAAGGCUAUAGUCAUGAGCCGUCUAAGGUGGAGGUCACGAGCGGCAGGUGGCUCUUAAUAAGCACUUGACAUACCACUUCUCCCAACUGAGAUGUGCUGUACGCGUCAAAUCCGAACUGGAUUUUGAGGAUUCAGAAUGAAUAAAAGAUUGAAAAAAUCUCAUUCAUGAUUUGUAUAUUAAUUACAUGUUGAAAUGAUAAUAUGUUGGAUAUAUUGGGCUAAAUAAAAUAUAUUAUCAAAUUUAAGUUUGCUUGUUUCUUUUUAUUGUGUCUGCUAGAAAAAUGUCCUCAGUUAAAAUCACCUCAGUGGCUCACAUUCUCUCUCUAUUGGACAACAGGGCUCUUGACCUCCCUAGGGGAAUGGACCCAGGCACACAUGAUGCAGGUAAAAUAUGGUAUUGAGGGGUGUGAUUCCAGGAUCUGAGGGUACACCGACCCCAAGUUGAUUUCACUCUCUCUUUCCAGAAUUAUAGGGUGAAAAGAACCCUAGAGAAGGAUCCCUGGCCCCAGACACAUAACUAUCAGUGAGAACCCACAGCAUUGAAAAGCAAAUCUUUCCCAAAGCUUCAUGUUUUGAGCCAGCCUGCUGUAAAACUUUGUUAAAAAAAAUCAGUAGACAAUAAAGAAGAAAAUCAAACUUUUUAGCCUUGAUUAAGUGGUU
rnacentral:lncRNA from 1 species